CAGUAGAUAGAUACAGUAGAUAGAUCUAGAGCCAUAAAGCUAAAUGGCCAUUAUGACAUCAUCAGGUUAUUCAUUGUGACAUCCUCGGUAUGUUCAUUGUGACAUUGUGUGAUCAUUAUGACAUCAUCGGUAUGAUCAUUAUGACAUAAUAAUCCGUGCAACUAUAAAACUGUCCAGCUAACAGUGAACUCAUUUUAUGCAUAGAGCUUAAAGUGAACACUUCUGGUUAGUCAACACAUCUUGCUUCUGUGCAUAUCAAAAAGAACUGUUAGUAGAAAAAUUAUAUUUGUGUUUUUGGCUAUAUGUGUUUGUUAUAUUUAUCUAAAUGACUUUGCAAUGUUGAAUUUCCCUGAUCUGUAAUCGUUGUAUAUUUAUAUGAAUUAAACAUGCCCCUUUAAGAGUAUGUUAUAAUGUAUUGUUAUUAUCUGUUUGUAUAUAUUUAUUUUGCUUCAUAAAGCUCAGCUUGACUAAAGCACCAGAUAUGAUGAAAAAUUGAUAAUAGAAUUAAUUACAUUACAAUUAAUGGCAUUGCUGGUUUCUAUGUUGAUAGAUCAGAUUCUCAUAUUCAUUCUUCUUUCUGUUUUUUUUUCCAGAAUAAACUCUUUGAAGGCCGUGGAAGACCCUCUUGCCCAGCAAUGAUGGGUUCCAUGCGUCUUCAUUAAUUUAUCUUUAUCAUCUGACUAUUUCAAUUCUUUUUUGGAACCAGUUCAGCUCUGAAAACUUUCGUCUAUUCAAACCGAAGCUGAUAUUGAAAGCAGAUACUUGGAAUAUUAUACCAUGUGCCUUUCAUACAAGGCAUCCCCUGAAUCCGUCACACAUCAAAUUGGAAUGGGGUUUCAUCCCAAAAGGCAGAAAGGAUUACCAACCUUUAGUGCGUCUAUACGGAGACCAUGUCAGAACGGCAUUGCCUGCUUUCGCGGAUAAAUUCCAACUUUUUAAACCCCUAGUGGCAAAAGGGAACUGUUCUCUGGUCAUCAAUCCCACAGUCAUUGAAGACAGUGGCACUUAUCAGGUUACACUGACGAUAAAAGAAAAGGUGUUCAAGCCCCUUUCGUCUAUGAAAAUUCAAAUUGUGCAUCAACUCAAAGGUGGAUCACGGUCAGCACGUAUGAAUGAUGAAACAACGACAAAACCUACAAGCACCACUAAAGCACCAAACCAAGAAACAACUGCAACAACAGCAGAUGACAGGGAUUUCAUUGACAAGACCAUCCUCCCAAUUCUUAAAGGAAAAAAAAAGUGCACAAUAAAUAGAUAGAUAGAUACAGUAGAUAGAUAAGUA